UGGAGAGAUGGCUCAGCCG
rnacentral:piRNA from 1 species